UUUUUGCCGCUUAUAUUUUUCAUCUCACCUUCUACCCUCUAUCUAUUCAUNUUCUCCAAGAAAGAACUGUUUGAUUUUUUUCUCCUUGACGACUCUGUAACCAACCCAGAAUGCCAACCAUCACAUCUCUGACCUCUCCAGCACCGUUUCGUGGAGUGCACCUUCAACAUUUGAAAGACAAUUCCAAUUAGAACUUCCUCUUUUGUAUCGAUACCUCAUUGAUGCUCCUUCUGGUAAGUUAUAACAGGGUCAGGAACUUUUUAAACUUUAGGGUUUNGGGAAGGAAAAGGGAAGACAUGAUUAUGGCUAACACUGAUGAUUAGAUAUAGUACUAAAUUACUAAUUAGGUCUGUUAGAAGGACGUGAUUCAUUGGAUGUGGCCUCUUUUCACAGAAANUUAGAGAUCAUGGAGAAAUGAUGUCUUGCAUCUUAGUCCAUGUCCUUUUUACUGUUAGUGUUUUCUAUUAUUUUUUCUGCCUUAAAAUAUAAUUUCUAUGCCUACUAGUUUGUGUUUUAAAAAAUUAUAUGCUACCUUAGUUAGGUUGUUAUAGGCACGUGCCCUUGCUGAGAAGUAUGGGGCACAAUCAAGAGCAGGAACAAACCCUCUCUUUUGGUUCCACAAUCAAGUAACGUUAACUGCUUUCGAUUCUUUUUCAUUUUCGUGUUUGUCAAUUGAAUUCGAUGCAUUUUACUUUUGUCAUCA